AUGGUAGACUGGAAAGGAGCUCUUUGUCUUUCUGUAUUUGUGUGUGCAUAUGUGAACAGCAUGGAACGAUGUAACUGGCACAUUAAAGAGAAGGCUUUAUCUGCAGAAGAUUCUUUUCUCACUAGGGAUCACUCUUCUUCACUUCAUGGUAGCCUUACAAGAGGAGUUCAGAUGUGUGAUGAUGUUAGACAAGGCAGAGGAAGAGCAUUGAUGGAGAAUUUCUAGGCAUUAAUGUUUUGCCUUGCUAGGCAAAUGUAUGAGAAUGAUGAAUUCAGUACUGCACAAGAAGAGGACAGAUCCUGCAUUGAGUAGCUUCCAUGAACAAGGAGACGCUGAGCUUCAUCUCAGUAUAUCACUGCCCAGGCUAUGGCCUGGCCAUGGGAGAUGACAAGCAGCUGCUACAAGCGAAGGUAUUUCUGCAUAAACAAGAGUACUUUUUAUCUCAGGAUAGAAUAUGAUCGGCUUGUUUAUGCUUGCAGCCUUUUCAUUUCUUAAGGAACAGAUUUGUUACAUUUGCUAAAGGAGAAGUGGGGAUAUUUGUUCUACAAGUACUGCUUCAGACAAAAUAUUUCAUCUCUAUUUAUAUUCCUUCUUUCUACAAUGGGCAACGUUAUUUUUGUCUCAUUAUUCAUAGACCUUUUGAGGAUUAAUUAAGCAAUAAUUGUGAAUAGGCCAGAUUUCUUCUUUAAAGGUUCCAGAUCAACAAGGCAAUGAAUAAAUAGGAUAAACAGAUUUUACCA
rnacentral:lncRNA from 1 species